rnacentral:lncRNA from 1 species
AUGUCCGGCCUGUCACGCGCUCACGCUCCGUGCGGGGAGCCUGCAGGUUGCGGCGCUGCGAGGGCGGGGGCGGGGCCCGCCCGCCCCUGCUCCUCCGAGCGAGGAUGCACGAGAGUAAUAACGCAGCACGCGGAAGGGAUGCGGCGGCGGCCGGAAGACCUGGGGCGAGCCGGGGUCAGGGGCCAGGGGCCAGGGGCAGAGGCCCGCGGUGGCUGGAGAGGGACCAGGAACAGAGCCGGCCCAGCCCUGGGGAGGUGCCCUCAGGGUCAUCACCCCGUCGUACAGAGGUGGGCGCAGGCAGGUCUCCCUGCUGUGGGGUGCCCUCAGGGUCAUCUCCCCAUCGUACACAGAGGUGUGCCCAGGCAGGUCUCCCUGCUGUGGGGUGCCCUCAGCGUCAUCUCCCCAUCGCACACAGGUGGGGGGCAGGCAGGUCUCCCUGCUGUGGGGUGCCCUCAGCGUCAUCUCCCCAUCGCACACAGGUGGGGGGCAGGCAGGUCUCCCUGCUGUGGGGUGCCCUCAGCGUCAUCUCCCCAUCGCACACAGGUGGGGUGCAGGCAGGUCUCCCUGCUGUGGGGUGCCCUCAGGGUCAUCACCCCAUCAUACAGAGGUGGGCCCAGGCAGGUCUCCCUGCUGUGGGGUGCCCUCAGGGUCAUCUCCCCAUCGCACACAGGUGGGGUGCAGGCAGGUCUCCUGCUGUGGGGUGCCCUCAGGGUCAUCUCCCCAUCGCACACAGGUGGGGGGCAGGCAGGUCUCCCUGCUGUGGGGUGCCCUCAGGGUCAUCUCCCCAUUGUACACAGAGGUGGGGUGCAGGCAGGUCUCCCUGCUGUGGGGUGCCCUCAGGGUCAUCUCCCCAUUGUACACAGAGGUGGGGUGCAGGCAGGUCUCCCUGCUGUGGGGUGCCCUCAGGGUCAUCACCCCAUUGUACACAGAGGUGGGGUGCAGGCAGGUCUCCCUGCUGUGGGGUGCCCUCAGGGUCAUCUCCCCAUCGUACACAGGCAGAGGUGGGGCACAGGUCUCACUCAAGGCCCCACACUCGGAGUAAAAUAG